GCUGGGCAUGGUGACGUGUGCCUGUAGUCCCCAGCUACUUGAGAGGCUGAGGCAGGAGAAUCACUUGAGGCCAGGGGUUCUGAGCUGUGGGUGUGCUAUGCCGAUUGGGUGUCUGCACUAAAUUCUGCAUCAGUGUGGUGACCUCCUGGGAGUGUGGGACCACCAGGUUGUCUAAGGCGGGGUGAACUAGCCGAGGUCAGAAAUGGAGCAAGUCAAAACUCCUGUGCUAAUCAGUAGUGGGGUGGUUCCUCUGAAUACCCACUGCAUUCCAGCCUGGGCCACAUAGUGAGACCCUGUCUCU
rnacentral:SRP_RNA from 1 species